rnacentral:rRNA from 1 species
CCUACGGGAGGCAGCAGUGGGGAAUAUUGCACAAUGGGGGAGACCCUGAUGCAGCGACGCCGCGUGAGUGAAGAAGUACUUCGUUAUGUAAAGCUCUAUUUGCAGGGAAGUAAAUGACGGUACCUGAGUAAGAAGCCACGGCUAACUACGUGCCAGCAGCCGCGGGAAUACGGAGGGGGCAAGCGUUAUCCGGAUUUACUGGGGGUAAAGGGAGCGUAGACGGUAGUGCAAGUCAGUAGUGAAAGGCUGGGGCUCAACCUGCGGACUGCACUUGAAACUGGACGGCUGGAGUGCAGGAGAGGUAAGCGGAAUUCCUAGUGUAGCGGUGAAAUGCGUAGAUAUUAGGAGGAACUCCAGUGGCGAAGGCGGCUUACUGGACUGUAACUGACGUUGAGGCUCGAAAGCGUGGGGAGCAAACAGGAUUAGAUACCCUAGUAGUC